rnacentral:rRNA from 1 species
UACGGAGGGUGCAAGCGUUAAUCGGAAUUACUGGGCGUAAAGCGCACGCAGGCGGUUUGUUAAGUCAGAUGUGAAUCCCCGGGCUUAACCUGGGAACUGCAUUCGAAACUGGUGGGCUAGAGUCUCGUAGAGGGGGGUAGAAUUCCAGGUGUAGCGGUGAAAUGCGUAGAGAUCUGGAGGAAUACCGGUGGCGAAGGCGGCCCCCUGGACGAAGACUGACGCUCAGGUGCGAAAGCGUGGGGAGCAAACAGG